GACGAACGCUGGCGGCGCGCUUAACACAUGCAAGUCGAACGGAAAGGCCUGCUUUCCCUUGUGGAUUGCGGGUACUCGAGUGGCGAACGGGUGAGUAACACGUGAGUGAUCUGCCCCCAACUUGGGUAUAAGCCUGGGAAACUGGGUCUAAUUCCCGAUAGGACUGCAGGGUGGUGCCUGUGGUGGAAAACGAUUUUCUAGUGGUUGGGGAUGAGCUCGCGGCCUAUCAGCUUGUUGGUGGGGUAAUGGCCUACCAAGGCGGCGACGGGUAGCCGGCCUGAGAGGGUGGACGGCCACAUUGGGACUGAGAUACGGCCCAGACUGCUACGGGAGGCAGCAGUGGGGAAUAGUGCACAAUGGGCGGAAGCCUGAUGCAGCGACGCCGCGUGGGGGAUGACGGCCUUCGGGUGGUAAACUCCUUUCGACCGCGAGGAAGCCACCUGGUUGGAAGGGUGGUGACGGUAGUGGUAGAAGAAGCACCGGCUAACUACGUG
rnacentral:rRNA from 1 species